AUAAUAUGAUUCCUUUUUAGCUCCACAGUAUUUGAAUGUUUUGGAUGGUACAGUUAUUCACACUGGCCAUAGCUUUCGCAGAUUCCGCGGUUCCAACACUGCGAUGGUGGAGGAUUCAUGGCAGAAAUGGUGGAUAAAUAUGGCGAAUGUAAUCGAUAAACAACCUGGGUUAUGUCGGAGUAGAUUGGGUAUGCUUGGGAUAUGUCCAACCUGUCAUUGUGCUGAAUUUAUCAAGGUCUUUGAUGCACCGGACAAGAUCUCCUCGUCUUCUGAAUAGAAGAAAACGUGAAACUACAUUUGAUAGGAAGUCCUUGCAUACACAGCUAGGGAAAGAGGAAGCUCAGGAGAUAGAAAUGUUGGCAUCUCUAAAGAGAAAGGGCAGAUUUACACCAAACUUCACAGGGGAUACCACUACCAAGCCUAUUACUGUACAUUGCUGGAUGUUAUGGUCCAAUGAUUUUUCCUGUAGUAAUGGUCCUUAAUAUGUGGUAAUUUACAAUUUCUGCAUGAGAUUAAUUGCCACAUUGAAAGACAAAACGGGCACAAACCAUGAUAAAAAGCACCACUUCCCAUGUGCGGUAUACUAGACCAGCCGUGAAUAUAUCAGAUGACAGAGAAAGAGACUGGUUGAGUCCCAAGCAGCCGGAUGGAACGUUUCUCACUUCUUGUGCUGAAUGGCAGUUUUGACUGUAUUUCAUAUCAGUUUCUGUCUUUACAGCAUUAAAACUUUUAUCAUUUCUAUGAUGGUUUUGUUAAAGUUUGCAUCAUUUCAGUCUAAAUCGUCUUUACAGCAUUAAAACUUUUAUCAUUUCUAUGAUUGUUUUGUUAAAGUUUGCAUCAUUUCAGUCUAAAUUGUCUUUACAGCAUUAAAACUUUUAUCAUUUC